AUUGAACGCUGGCGGCAUGCCUUACACAUGCAAGUCGAACGGCAGCACGGGAGCAAUCCUGGUGGCGAGUGGCGAACGGGUGAGUAAUACAUCGGAACGUGCCCAAUCGUGGGGGAUAACGCAGCGAAAGCUGUGCUAAUACCGCAUACGAUCUACGGAUGAAAGCAGGGGAUCGCAAGACCUUGCGCGAAUGGAGCGGCCGAUGGCAGAUUAGGUAGUUGGUGAGGUAAAGGCUCACCAAGCCGUCGAUCUGUAGCUGGUCUGAGAGGACGACCAGCCACACUGGGACUGAGACACGGCCCAGACUCCUACGGGAGGCAGCAGUGGGGAAUUUUGGACAAUGGGCGAAAGCCUGAUCCAGCCAUGCCGCGUGCAGGAUGAAGGCCUUCGGGUUGUAAACUGCUUUUGUACGGAACGAAACGGCCUUUUCUAAUAAAGAGGGCUAAUGACGGUACCGUAAGAAUAAGCACCGGCUAACUACGUGCCAGCAGCCGCGGUAAUACGUAGGGUGCAAGCCUUAAUCGGAAUUACUGGGCGUAAAGCGUGCGCAGGCGGUUAUGUAAGACAGUUGUGAAAAUCCCCGGGCUCAACCUGGGAACUGCAUCUGUGACCGCCUAUCUAGAGUACCGUACAGGGGGAUGGAAUU
rnacentral:rRNA from 1 species